rnacentral:rRNA from 1 species
ACUCCUACGGGAGGCAGCAGUGGGGAAUCUUGCGCAAUGGGCGAAAGCCUGACGCAGCCAUGCCGCGUGAAUGAUGAAGGUCUUAGGAUUGUAAAAUUCUUUCACCGGGGACGAUAAUGACGGUACCCGGAGAAGAAGCCCCGGCUAACUUCGUGCCAGCAGCCGCGGUAAUACGAAGGGGCUAGCGUUGCUCGGAAUUACUGGGCGUAAAGGGAGCGUAGGCGGACUGUUAAGUUAGAGGUGAAAGCCCAGGGCUCAACCUUGGAAUUGCCUUUAAUACUGGCAGUCUUGAGUACGGAAGAGGUAUGUGGAACUCCGAGUGUAGAGGUGAAAUUCGUAGAUAUUCGGAAGAACACCAGUGGCGAAGGCGACAUACUGGUCCGUUACUGACGCUGAGGCUCGAAAGCGUGGGAGCAAACAGGAUUAGAUACCCUGGUAGCGACUGA